UACGAAGGGGGCUAGCGUUGCUCGGAAUCACUGGGCGUAAAGCGCACGUAGGCGGACUCUUAAGUCGGGGGUGAAAUCCUGGAGCUCAACUCCAGAACUGCCUUCGAUACUGGGAGUCUUGAGUUCGGGAGAGGUGAGUGGAACUGCGAGUGUAGAGGUGAAAUUCGUAGAUAUUCGCAAGAACACCAGUGGCGAAGGCGGCUCACUGGCCCGAUACUGACGCUGAGGUGCGAAAGCGUGGGUAGCGAACAGG
rnacentral:rRNA from 1 species